rnacentral:rRNA from 1 species
GAUGAACGCUGGCGGCGCGCCUAACACAUGCAAGUCGAACGAUUAAAGCACCUUCGGGUGUGUAUAAGGUGGCGAACGGCUGAGUAACACGUGGGCAACCUGCCCCUUUCAUUGGGAUAGCCACGGGAAACCGUGGAUAAUACCGAAUACUUCGAGACUUCCGCAUGGAAGACUCGAGAAAGCUCCGGCGGCGAGGGAUGGGCCCGCGGCCUGUUAGCUUGUUGGUGGGGUAACGGCCUACCAAGGCAAUGAGGGGUAGCUGGGUUGAGAGAGCGACCAGCCAGAUUGGGACUGAGACACGGCCCAGACUCCUACGGGAGGCAGCAGUGGGGAAUCUUGCACAAUGGGCGAAAGCCUGAUGCAGCGACGCCGCGUGCGGGAUGAAGGCCUUCGGGUUGUAAACCGCUUUCAGCAGGGACGAGGCGAAAGUGACGGUACCUGCAGAAGAAGCCCCGGCUAACUACGUG